AGCGGCGGACGGGUGAGUAACGCGUGGGUAACCGUGCCUCAUAUAGGGGGAUAACAGUUGGAAACGGCUGCUAAUACCGCAUAAGCGCACAGUACCGCAUGGUACGGUGUGAAAAACUCCGGUGGUAUGAGAUGGACCCGCGUCUGAUUAGGUAGUUGGUGGGGUAACGGCCUACCAAGCCGACGAUCAGUAGCCGACCUGAGAGGGUGACCGGCCACAUUGGGACUGAGACACGGCCCAA
rnacentral:rRNA from 1 species